rnacentral:rRNA from 1 species
CCUACGGGCGGCAGCAGUGAGGAAUAUUGGACAAUGGACGAGAGUCUGAACCAGCGAAGUAGCGUGAAGGAUGACUGCCCUAUGGGUUGUAAACUUCUUUUAUAUGGGAAUAAAACGUUCCACGUGUGGGAUUUUGUAUGUACCAUAUGAAUAAGGAUCGGCUAACUCCGUGCCAGCAGCCGCGGUAAUACGGAGGAUCCGAGCGUUAUCCGGAUUUAUUGGGUUUAAAGGGAGCGUAGGUGGAUUGUUAAGUCAGUUGUGAAAGUUUGCGGCUCAACCGUAAAAUUGCAGUUGAAACUGGCAGUCUUGAGUACAGUAGAGGUGGGCGGAAUUCGUGGUGUAGCGGUGAAAUGCUUAGAUAUCACGAAGAACUCCGAUUGCGAAGGCAGUUCACUGGACUGCAACUGACACUGAGGCUCGAAAGUGUGGGUAUCAAACAGGAUUAGAUACCCGAGUAGUC